UACGAAGGGGGCUAGCGUUGUUCGGAAUUACUGGGCGUAAAGCGCACGUAGGCGGCUUUUUAAGUCGGAGGUGAAAUCCUGGAGCUCAACUCCAGAACUGCCUUCGAUACUGAAGAGCUCGAGUCCGGGAGAGGUGAGUGGAACUGCGAGUGUAGAGGUGAAAUUCGUAGAUAUUCGCAAGAACACCAGUGGCGAAGGCGGCUCACUGGCCCGGUACUGACGCUGAGGUGCGAAAGCGUGGGGAGCAAACAGG
rnacentral:rRNA from 1 species